CUCCUGAGGGCAGACCUUGUUAAGAAGAACAGAGUGAUCUGGAGUAUUUCAAAAUGGCUCCUUCCCCCUGCCUCUGCUGGCAGCUCAAGGGGAUUUUUCUCUGAUAUUUACUAUGGGAGCCUAGUUGGCCUCACGGUGUUUGAGCUCAAGGUGGUAAAUCUCACAAAACUGUGGGGGCCCCCUAUGACUUGGUUCCCCCGGAGUUUUUUAUUCUCAGAUGUCCACAAUGAACCUCCAGCAUUUUCAUCAAUUUCAGCCUGGUUUCCCUACCCUGACUCUGCUUCAUGAGAUUUAAGUGCCUUUUCUCCUGGAUAAAUGCUUUGUGAAGGAAUUGCUGGAUCAUAAUUCUGGAAGCUAGAAGUCUGAAAUCAAGGUAUCAACAGACGAUGCUCCUUCUGAAGGCUCCAGGGAAGACUCUCCCCUUGCCUCUUGGAGCUUCUGGGUGCUGCUGGCCAUCAUUGCUAUUCCUAGGCUUGGAGCUGCAUCACCCCAAUCUCUGUCCCUUCUUCACACAGCCUUCUCCUUUGUGUGUAAAUAUCUCCACUUGUUUGUGUCACUUCCUAAACGGAGACCAGUGCUUGGAUUUAGGGCUCACUCUGAUCUAAUGUGACCUCCUCUUAACUCGAUUAUACCUGCAAAGAGUAUUUCCAAAUGAGGUCACAUCAACAGGUGCCAGAUGGACAUGACUUUUGGGGAGACACUACUAUGAAAACCAUGCUUAGCUCAAAGGCCAUACAAAAACAGGCCACAGGAUGAAUUCCGCUCACGUGCUAUCAUCUGCUGACCCCUGGUAUGAGUAUUGUAAUGUCAAACCAAACUUAGAGUAAACUCAAAGAUUUUAUUUCCGACUGUAUAACAACUAGGAAAAGGUCAAAUAUUUUAAAAAGUCAUUUUCAGAGACUGGCGCAUUUUGUCAUGUAUAGCACACCAGGGACCGCAUCCAGUUGAGGAAGCUAGAAGCAGAGGAGGUAGAAUGAACCCUAAUAAUAU
rnacentral:lncRNA from 1 species